UCCACAAUGUAAGUCAUUCUAGCAUUUCCCACAUUCAUAUUGAUGUUAAUGUAUCUAGAUAGAUAUAUCUAGAUACAUUAACCAUCUAGAUACAUUAACAUCAAUAUGAAUGUGGGAAAUGCUAGAAUGACUUACAUUGUGGAA
rnacentral:misc_RNA from 1 species